GACGAACGCUGGCGGCGUGCUUAACACAUGCAAGUCGAACGGUAAGGCCCUUCGGGGUACACGAGUGGCGAACGGGUGAGUAACACGUGGGUGAUCUGCCCUGCACUUCGGGAUAAGCCUGAGAAACUGGGUCUAAUACCGGAUAGGACCACUGCCUGCAUGGGUGUAGGUGGAAAGCAUUUGCGGGGUGGGAUGGGCCUGCGGCCUAUAAGCUUGUUGGAGGGGUGAUGGCCUACCAAGGCGACGACGGGUAGCCGGCCUGAGAGGGUGACCGGCCACACUGGGACUGAGUUACGGCCCAGACUCAUACGGGAGGCAGCAGUGGGGAAUAUUGCACAAUGGGCGCAAGCCUGAUGCAGCGACGCCGCGCGAGGGAUGACGGCCUUCGGGUUGUAAACCUCUUUCAGCACCGACGAAGCGCAGGUGACGGUAGGUGCAGAAGAAGGACCGGCCAACUACGUGCCAGCAGCCGCCGCGG
rnacentral:rRNA from 1 species